AGAGAUGUAGCUUAGUUGGUUAAAGCGUUUGACUGAUACUCAAAAGAUCAUAGGUUCAAGUCCUAUCAUUUCUA
rnacentral:tRNA from 1 species